GACGAACGCUGGCGGCGUGCUUAACACAUGCAAGUCGAGCGGUAAGGCCCUUUCGGGGGUACGACGAGCGGCGAACGGGUGAGUAACACGUGGGUGACCUGCCCUCAGCUCUGGGAUAAGCCUGGGAAACCGGGUCUAAUACUGGAUAUGACUCCAUGACGCAUGUUGUGGGGUGGAAAGCCUUGUGCGGCUGAGGAUGGGCCCGCGGCCUAUCAGCUUGUUGGUGGGGUGANGGCCUACCAAGGCGACGACGGGUAGCCGGCCUGAGAGGGCGACCGGCCACACUGGGACUGAGACGCGGCCCAGACUCCGUACGGGAGGCAGCAGGUGGGGAAUCUUGCGCAAGUGGGCGAAAGCCUGACGCAGCGACGCCGCGUGAGGGAUGACGGCC
rnacentral:rRNA from 1 species